GCUGGACGAACCCCGGCCCCGAGCACCCCACGGCUCGUGCCGUGCAUCACCCCGUGGCUCGGCUGUGACCCUCCCGGGGGGGGCGCUGAAGCCAGCAGCUCCAUUGGGACCAGCCCCGUGUGGCUCGUGGCCACCUGCCCUCGCGUGCCCCAGGCAAAGCUGCUUGGCCCCGGCUCAGCCCGGAGGCUUACGGAGGUGCACGCUGACGGCAGCGGGCACGCAGGUCCCCCCGCCGGUGCCAGGAGGUGUCCCCCCCCCCUGUGACAACGCCUCCGGGUGACACCUCCCUUGUUGUCCUGUCCGGGGGGUUAAACAUUAACAGGGGCUGUGGCCAGGGCAAGGCCAGGGGAGUCACUGGAGGGGAUAAGGGAAGGGUGUUGUUUUGGGAGAAAGCAAUGCUCAGAAAGUGUCCCCACGCUCUGGUUGUCCCUGCGCUGGUCAUCUUCUCCCACCCGGCUGCUCCUCCGGCCCCUCCUCAGCUCCCACUCUUCCUCCCCAGCUGCUUUCUUCGUCUCUCAUGGUCGAGCAGGCGCUUGCUGAGCUGCCCAGUGCAUUUCCCCGUGGAGAGGGCACUUCUUGCAUCUCCUGCCUUCGGUCUGGCCAGGGGAGAGCUGCUGGGGCUGCACCAAGGUGGGCUUCCACCAGCCCUGCUUUCCCCUCGCUGCUUGGGCACACAUGGGAAAGCCUGGGCGAUGGCUCAGCACCAGGACAAGGAACAACGCGCAGCCCGAAGGCUUCGCAAGGGGUUGUGCUCCCGAAGCAAGAAGGAAAAAGGAAGCUUCAUUUGAAAGAAAACAUCCGAGCUCAGCGCCAGGCCAGCUUUGCAGCAUGCAGCAGGCGAGCAGGAGGGAUGCGAGCGGCGGGGAUCAGAGGAAAAGCUCACCCCAGGCGGAGGGGGCCGAGGAGCAAUCCACUGCAUGCCAAUUGCCAGAGUCAUCCCCGCGGUCCUGGAAACCAGCGCUGGGUCCUGGAAACGCUGCUGGAAGAGAGGCUGCACCAUAAAUUUUAAACGUAAGGCAGCCCCGGAGAGGCAAUAAAUACGUUUGCGAGCACA
rnacentral:lncRNA from 1 species